AUCAAACUGACGAGUCCCAAGCAGAAUGAAACGCGCGUCCUGGAU
rnacentral:hammerhead_ribozyme from 1 species